rnacentral:rRNA from 1 species
UACAGAGGUCCCAAGCGUUGUUCGGAUUCAUUGGGCGUAAAGGGUGCGUAGGCGGUGCCGCAAGUCAGAUGUGAAAUCUCGGGGCUUAACCCCGAAACUGCAUUUGAUACUGCGGUGCUCGAGGACUGGAGAGGAGACUGGAAUUCACGGUGUAGCAGUGAAAUGCGUAGAUAUCGUGAGGAAGGCCAGUGGCGAAGGCAGCCCCCUGGGCCAAUACUGACGCUCAUGCACGAAAGCGUGGGGAGCAAACAGG